UACAGAGGAUGCAAGCGUUAUCCGGAAUGAUUGGGCGUAAAGCGUCUGUAGGUGGCUUUUUAAGUCCGCCGUCAAAUCCCAGGGCUCAACUCUGGACAGGCGGUGGAAACUACCAAGCUGGAGUACGGUAGGGGCAGAGGGAAUUCCCGGUGUAGCGGUGAAAUGCGCAGAUAUCGGGAAGAACACCCGUGGCGAAGGCGGCUCUCUGGGACGGUACUGACGCUGAGACGCGAAAGCGUGGGGAGCGAACAGG
rnacentral:rRNA from 1 species